UUAAUUCGAUGAUACACGAGAACCUUACCAGGCUUGACAUGUUGGUGGUAGGGAUCCGAAAGGUGACCGACCUUCGGGAGCCUUCACAGGUGCUGCAUGGCUGUCGUCAGCUCGUGUCGUGAGAUGUCCGGUUAAGUCCGGUAACGAGCGCAACCCCUACGUUUAGUUGCUAACGCGUGAAGGCGAGCACUCUAGACGAACUGCCGUUGACAAAACGGAGGAAGGUGGGAUGACGUCAAAUCAUCAUGCCCCUUAUGUUCUGGGCUACACACGUGCUACAAUGGCCGGCACAGCGGGAAGCGAGGGGGCGACCUUGAGCGGAUCCCUCAAAGCCGGUCUCAGUUCGGAUUGCAGUCUGCAACUCGACUGCAUGAAGUUGGAAUCGCUAGUAAUCGUGGAUCAGCCAAGCCGCGGUGAAUACGUUCCCGGGCCUU
rnacentral:rRNA from 1 species